ensembl:lncRNA novel transcript
CCCUGACUCUCUUUUUGGACCCAGCACACCUGCACCCAGGGGAAAUAAACAGCUUUAUUGCUCACAGAAAGCCUGUUUGGUGGUCUCUUCACACAGACACGAGUGAAAUUUGGUGCUGUGACUUGGAUCGGGGGACCUCCCUUGGGACAUCAAUCCCCUGUCCUCCUGUUCUUUGCUCCGUGAGAAAGAUCCACCUACAACCUCAGGUCCUCAGACUGACCAGCCCAAGAAACGUCUCACCAAUUUCAAGUAUGGUACACAUCCAGAUGGCUGGUUCCUGCCUUAACUGCUGACAUUCCACCACAAAAGAAGUGAAAAUGUCCUGUUCCUGCCUUAACUGAUGACAUUGUCUUGUGAAAUUCCUUCUCCUGGCUCAUCCCGGCUCAAAAGCUCCCCCACUGAGUACCUUGUGACCCCCACUCUGCCGGCCAGAGAACACCCCCCUUUGACUGUAAUUUUCCUUUAUCUACCCAAAUCCUAUAAAACGGCCCCACCCCUAUUUCCCUUCGCUGACUCUCUUUUUGGACUCAGCCCACCUGCACCCAGGUGAAAUAAACAGCUUUAUUGCUCACACAAA